UACGGGGGGGGGCAAGCGUUGUUCGGAAUUACUGGGCGUAAAGGGCUCGUAGGCGGCCAACUAAGUCGGAUGUGAAAUCCCCAGGCUCAACCUGGGAACUGCAUCCGAUACUGGAUGGCUUGAAUUCGGGAGAGGGAUGCAGAAUUCCAGGUGUAGCGGUGAAAUGCGUAGAUAUCUGGAGGAAUACCGGUGGCGAAGGCGGUCUGCUGGGCCGUUGCUGACGCUGAGGCGCGACAGCGUGGGGAGCAAACAGG
rnacentral:rRNA from 1 species